CGGGGCGGGGGCUUGCAGAGAGCAGCUGGGCACGCCUCUGGGCCUUGGGGAGAACGGGUUCAAGACCUAGCUGGCGCUUUUUCUCGGACCGUCUCGGUGCAGGCACGGAGCGGAGCCCGGGGCUCUGGGAACAAAGGGUCGGCGCCCCGGGGAAGAAGCCCACCUGGGAUGACUGUCAGCAGCUCCUGCAGGUUCUCUGUACCACUGAAGAAAGAGCGAAUCCAGGUGGAAGCCCGGAAGUCCGUCCUGGGUGUGGCCUAAGCUGAGGGCUCUCUACGAGACUGGGCCACCCCCGGGUCCCCAUCGAUAUCGGCCGGGUGAUUGGGUGCACGUCCGGAGAUACCAACGCCAGACACUUCAACCUCGCUGGAAGGGACUCUACAUCGUGAUCCUGACCACUCCCACUGCUCUCAAAGUCGACGGGAUUACUCCCUGGGUCCACUACACCCACGUCUGGCCAGCUGACCCACACGCUGUUCUCAAGGACUUCGUUCCAGAAUGGAAAAGCCAGCUCGAAAAGGACAAUCCCCUAAAGCUAAGACUGUGCCGUUCUCACUUACCCCACUAAUGUUGCUUAUGUUAUGUCCCCCUCAUGCCAGGGCCAAUCCCCAGCAACCACUUAACCUAACAUGGCAGGUAAUAAGUGUUUCUACAGCAGAGGUUGUAUAUUCCCUCUCAAAAAUUGCCCCACUACAGACUUGGUUCCCUGACCUUACUCUUGACCUAACAAAAAUACUUGGGAACACCCAUCUCCACGGGUUGAGAAGCCAACUAUACAAACGGCAUUUUUAUGUUUGCCCGGGACACCUUACAGGAUACUGGGCAAAACAGUGUGGGGGCCCUACCCACUUUUACUGUGCCAGCUGGAGUUGUGUCUCCACUGGCGAAAUUUGGUGGACGGCCCCCUACAAAGAUGAUUUAAUUACUCUUAAAAGAAACCACACAUUACAGAGCUCUGAAACCAGUAAUCUGAUCACCCUAAAAUUCACAGAGGCCGGCAAACUAGAUACAAGAUGGCAGAUGGGACUUACUUGGGGCUUAAGAAUCUAUGACAAAGUAAGACUCGGUUAUCAGGACCCAGGUGCAAUAUUCACCUUGAGACUCUCAGCCCAGAAUAACCAGGUUAGCCUAGACCCAAACCCUGUAUUAGCACCGCCCAAAACUCAGAUAAAUCCUGUUCCCCCUCCACUGCCCUCCCCUGUACCCACCAUACCAUCUGCGUCCGAGAGAUGAUCACUCCCAUCCCGACUCCCUUCCCACAAGAUCCUCCCUUCCUCAGCUCCUCUGAGCAUCCACUUUGGGACCUGAUGUUCCAAGCUUACAGGUUCCUCAACGCAACCAAGCCCAAUCUUGACCAAUCUUACCCGAUCUUGCUGGCUCUGCUAUGACAUCCAGCCUCCCUUCUAGGAGGGAAUUGUGAUGUUGAGUCAGUACAACACAACCUCCAACCCUAAUGCCUGUAGAUGGCAUCAAAAGACGCAAGGACUCCCUUUACAAUCAGUGUCAGGUCAGGGACUCUGUACAGGCACCCUCUUACCCCAGUACCAGACCCUAUGUAAUGAUAACAAGAUCUAUAUCUAGCCUAGACAACCACCUACCUUCUCAAGAUGGUUGAUGGACAUGUUCUACAGGCCUAUCCCCGUUUUCCUGGUCGGGUUCUGAAUCAGACAAAGGGUUUCUGUGUGCUAGUUCAGCUACUUCCUAAAAUUAUCUACCACUCAGAUGAGCAGGUACUUCAGUGGUUGGAGGCAGGUACCCACAGACGAGAUAAAAGAGGGCCCAUCUCGGUGAUCACCAUCGCCACGCUGUUGGGAAUUGGGUUAGCAGGUGCAGGGACAGGUAUUGCUUCACUAGCCGUACAGAAUUCCCAUGAUAACAGUCUCAGAGCAGCAGUCGAUCUACACAUAGAACGGAUAGAAACCUCUAUUUCCGCCCUCCAGGACUCCCUAACAUCUUUGUCUGAGGUUGUCCUUCAAAACAGAAGAGGACUAGAUUUAAUUUUCUUAAAACAAGGGGGUUUAUGUGCUGCCUUAAACGAGGAAUGUUUCUUCUUCACUGACCACUCCGGAAUCGUCUGAGAAUCUAUGGAAGAAGUCAGAGAAGGUCUGGCAAACGGGAACGGACACAGCAGCAGGGGUGGUUUGAAUCAUGGUUCAGCCAUUCCCCAUGGUUAACCACCUUGCUGUCCACCCUAGCCGGGCCUCUCCUCCUCCUCCUGCUUACCUUCGGGCCCUGCAUUAUCAAUAGAUUAGUUACUCUUGUCAAAGACCGAGUCAGUACAGUUCAGCUAAUGGUGCUCAGACAGCAAUACCAACCACCGGACCUUGUUGCUGAGACCAGCCUGGACCCACGAUUGGCUCCUUCCUUAGGUUCCUCUGAGGGGGGGCGGGGAUGUGGAGGCCGAGAAAAUUAAGGCCAUCCCACCUCAAGUUCAGUGUUAGCACAAACAGCCAUCUUAGCUUCGGCAGCCAUCUCAGGCCCCUGUGACCAGGGGCUGAACUUCACCCUGCUUCAGUUACAGGAAAAACCGCUAUACCCCACCCUGCAACAACCCAGCAACAGCUAAUCAACUUACUGCAGGAAAGUCUGAAACUUCCCCUCUACCCCCGCCAAGCCUCUUGUAAUGACACAUAAAUACCCCAGCCUUAAGUAGACUCGGGGUCCAAGUCCCGACUCCGCUGUGUUGGGUAUACUUGGGCCCAAGCUUAAGCUUGUCGAAUAAACCCUCGUGUGAUUUGCA